GACAGAGGUGCCGAGCGUUAGGCGGAAUCACUGGGCUUAAAGCGUGUGUAGGUGGAUGCCUAAGUACCUUGUGAAAAUCCCACGGCUUAACCGUGGAACUGCUUUGGUAUACUGGGUGUCUUGAGCCAGCUAGGGGGCUACCGGAACAAAAUGGUGGAGCGGUGAAAAUGCGUAGAUAUCAUUUUGGAAACGCCAAUGGUG
rnacentral:rRNA from 1 species